rnacentral:lncRNA from 1 species
ACACAUAAUCAUGGCUUUGAAAUCACCCCUAGCUAAGUAGGGAUUUAGCCACUCAUGUUUACAGCAAAACGAAAGGAAAAGAAAUUAAACAUUGUAAAUAUAGAACAAAUUACACCUAGAAUGCUCCAACAAUCAAGCUCGAACAUCCAAGAGUCCGUCCUUCUUUCUUCUUGCUGCGGCACAAAGGUGGAUGGAGUGUAGAAUGGUCCCGGAUAUGAAUCCCUGAAGGAUGCGGCUAAGGAUGGUACAAAUAGGCUAAAACUCGACUAGGGUUAAGAAAAAGGGUUUUAAAUACUUAACUAAUUUGUCCCACAAUUGAAUAGGUAAGAAAGAAUCAGAAAUUAAAGAGAAAUAGGUAACAAAGAUGCGGCACAAUAUAGGAAAGGUAUUUAAGGUCAGAAAUUUAGAGAGAAAAGGGAAGGAAGGUGCGCUGACUUUUAAUUGAAAAGGAAAUGUGAUUUUGGUUCAGAAUUUAGGCAAGAAGAGGAUCCCUUGUGCGGCAAGAAAAGGAAAAAAACCUAAGGUGGUGCAGCUUGGACCUUAGGGCAAGUUUAGGACUUCCAAAACAUGUAAUUAAAUGUUUUAACAUAUUUUGGAAUCCUUUUGUGGCUGGAACAUAGGUGAUGGAGUAUUAGGAAACUUCCAAGUCAAGAAUAGAAACUUUCAACUUUAGAAACUUUGGCUUCCAAUUCUGAACUCUUUGUUCUUCAUUUUCAUUUCUUCAUUUCAUUAUUCAUUCCUAGCCUCCUUUGAUCUUCAAUUUCGUCCAUCUCUCUUGCUCCAUUCAUAAGCUAUCCAUUCCAUGCUCAAAACUGCUCCAAAAAGCUCCAAAAUGCACUUCUUUGCCUCUUUAACCCUUUGGACCUACAAACACACGAAAAUGACUUAAAAUACUAAAAUAACUAAGAAAUAACAACCCAAAUGCAUAAGAACAAGCUAACUAAGUCGCAUAAAUAUGCUUCUAUUUGUUGUCACGCUUGCC